rnacentral:lncRNA from 1 species
AGCUUUUUUCUUAGCUGUGAUCUGGAUGAAUGAGUAGCUGUCUCGCAGAGAUGACAAAAAUAAACUCUAAUCCCCCCCAAAAUUUCCACUACAUCUUUCUCAUGCAUAGAUUUAUGAUCUUCAAGCGCCCUGUGCAAUAUGCAAACUUUUUGCGGCCUCCACUGAGACCUCACGGAAGUGCCAGUGUAGAGACUUGUAGCAAAGAGGUCAAUACUGCAAAAAGAAGUGGGGCCCAUCUUGCAAUUAAAGGAAGAGGCUCUCCUGCAGAGAAGGUCUGCAUCAAGAAAAUCUAAGACCUGAAUGGAUUUUAACUGCCAAGCGACAAGCCCUUUAAAAUGGGAUUAACAAUGGAAAGUCUGGCUUUUUUUCAAGCCACCAUGGUGCUGUGUUAACAUCUAGGCUUCUUCACAGCCCUUGGUCCACAGUCAAGAGCUCCCAGUGACAGACACCAAGGCUAAAGCUACAGCAGUGACCCAAGUUAUUCUGGAAGUUACAGCUCAACAUACCAGAUUUCAUGCAGCGGCUCUGAUGACAAAAAAUGAAUUUACCACAUGGAAUCUCACAACAUAUUGUGCGGUAACUCAGAAAAUAACUUGGGUUACCAUUGCACACACACAUAUAUAAUACACAUUAACGGCAUUUAUAGACACUGAUCUAUUAAGUCAUUUUCCUACACUACCUUCAGACCUUUCAUAUGAAGCAGAAAAACCAUCAUUAAAGCUAUGGUUUGCCAGACAAUUACUUUGUCAAAUCUCAAGAAAUUGCAUAAUAAAUUGUAUACAUGCAUCA